ensembl:lncRNA
UACAAAGGCACCACAGUGUGAAAAGCCACAUCGAGGGCUUCCAGGGCACAACAUCUGGUGGUGGAGGCUGCUGUGAUUAGAAAAAGUCCUAUUGCCAGAAUCGAGUUAUCUGAAGGUGUCCUGCUGGUAAGCAGCAAGUACGAGCUGUGCUGUGUCCUAAACUGGUGUGUGCAAAAGGGGUCGGAUUAGAUCUUUGACUCCCUCUUUGCGUUAAGUCGGGUUUGUCAGUAUUCCCGUCUAAAACCCAAUGCAAAAUAUCUCAAGAUGCAGUCCUCUGAUGAAACAAACUUUAUUUUUGGUUCUACAUAUCAAUAUCACAGUUCGGGGGAAGGUUUCCUUUUGGAAUCUUCCAUUGGCAGCGUGCAGGACUUUGCUGGGAAGCAGAAAAAGAUGUCUCUCCCAUGCUCUUCCAUGACAGUUUGGGUGAAUUUUUCCCUUGCUUUGCAGGAGAUAAAAUUUAACUUCUAGGUAUCUGCUGAAGAACAGCAACCUCAGCUGCUUCAGCUCUGGCAGUUAUGGUGGGCUUAUCCCCUUCUGUACUCUUCAUGCCAUCAUACAAGACAGCAGAAAUGUCAAGGUUGGAAGGAACGCCAGCAUUUUUACCACAGGAUGGGACAUCGGUGGCAGUGGUAGAUAGAUUUUCUUUCUUUCCCCUUAGGAAGAUGAGUCUGCUUCCUGCUGGGAAUUCACCGCUCUUAUUUCCCUCUCUACAUCCCAGCAAUCAGCCAGGAUCACCUGGAACUUAUUCCCUUGCUCCCAGUUGUACCUCUACAUGCCACCAUGCUGUUAGCGUGUUUGCAUUGGUACAGCACCCGGAUUCUUACUGGAGGGAAUAUUUGAACAAUUACGGGUCUGUUCACAGCCCCGUUCUGGCCUGGGGCUAAGCCAGGGGGUUGUUUGAGGACGGUGGUGUUUGGAGCCUGCCAGCUGACUGGUACCAGUGGGAUCAUACUGGAACAGACGGAAAGACCAGCAAGCCUAGAGGACAACGUAACAGCUGAGAAGCUCCCCCUGCACCCAGAGUAAAAACUGAGGAGUUUUUAGUGUUUUGAUACACCUUACACACCAGACGGCACAAGUCCAAGCUCCACCAGGAGAUCUCCCUCUCCUCAGCUGUCCCACUUCUAGGGACAUUCAUGGGGACCAAAGAGCUGGCAGUGCCUGAGCACUGGUUGGGAAAGGGGACUGUGUGUGCCUGAGUGGCCUGGAAAGUUGGACAUGGGUCCAGAUGUCACAGCAAAUAGGUUUGGAGCCUCUUGCAUGAGGGUGGGUUGUCACAGCUUCCCAACUCCAGGAGAGCAAUGAUCCCAGCUCUUGUGGCCGGCACAUCUUCAGAACACAUUUGAUGACAUUUUUGUCAGUUUUUAAGCAACGUGGACUACUUUAAAUGGGGAAAACAAACAAACAAACAAAAAAGAGUUUUUUGGGAAACGAACAAACAAAGAGUUUUUUGGGUACCAUUGGGGUCACUCUCUUCUUCUCCCCCAACACCCACUUUUCCUUCUUCAAUUAAAAUAAAGGAAAAAACAUACCAUUUAAACUUUGCCUA